GAACGGAAAUACGAACUUCAAAGCUUGAACCAGGAGGGCAUUUUGUCCAUACCAUAUCGUUGUAGCUGCAGUGCAUGUUACCUGCAUAUCAUACACGUUUAACAGUGUAGAAACGAGGGAAAACAUGGGACUGGUGAAUUUGUUAUCAAUUCAAAAGCUGUACAUGGAAUGAUACAUGCAGGAAUUUGUGCCACACAUUUCAACAAUUUCCUUAAUGGAUUGAAUGUACUUUUUGUGAAUUCAUCAGACAUACUUGAAGAAAAAGGAGAAUGAAACUGGAAAGAAAAUAUUUGCAGUUGCAAAAGAAUCCUGUAAAUAAAUUCAAAACUCAGCAAAAGAAGAAACAGUUUUAAACAUGGUUAAUUUAAUGAAUAAUUGGAAGGUCUCAUUGUCAUCAUUUAACAGCAGGUUAUUAGCAGCAGUUUUUCAGAAAAAUGAAGGAUAGCUGUCAAUGGUAAAUACAUACAUUUUAGGAUAAUUACAUGUAGUUACCUUUGAGAAAAAACUUAGGUUUCAUUUGAGACUUUUUAAUCUGAUAAUGGUGUUUUUCAGGCAUUUACAACAUUUUUUUGUUUGGACAAUAUAUUUAGUCCACUCAACUAUAAAAUGUAGGAUCAUGUAAAUUUGUACACAGAUCUCACUGACCUACAUUUUCCACUUCACUGACUUUGGUAACAUUAAAAAUCCAAUUUCAUAUACAACAAAUGUAUAUCUCAGCAACUAAAAGGUGUCAGAUCAUGCAAACUUAUAUAUACUCUCAGAGUCUCAGUUAGUAACUCAGCCUCCAGACAAAAGAAGGUCACAGUGAUCACAUUUUACACUAUUGAUUUGUACUGUAUUUUAUAUCUUAAAUACAAAGUAUAUAGUCAAGACUGCCACUGGUUCUUAUGUGCCACAAUUAUGACA